rnacentral:rRNA from 1 species
ACUAUUGUCACGGGUUACCGCGGCUGCUGGCACGGAGUUAGCCGGUGCUUCUUCUGCGAGUAACGUCACAGAUGUAAGGUAUUAACUUACACCCUUUCCUCCUCGCUGAAAGUGCUUUACAACCCGAAGGCCUUCUUCACACACGCGGCAUGGCUGCAUCAGGGUUUCCCCCAUUGUGCAAUAUUCCCCACUGCUGCCUCCCGUAGGAGUCUGGGCCGUGUCUCAGUCCCAGUGUGGCUGAUCAUCCUCUCAGACCAGCUAGGGAUCGUCGCCUAGGUGAGCCUUUACCUCACCUACUAGCUAAUCCCACCUGGGCUUAUCCAUCAGCGCAAGGCCCGAAGGUCCCCCUGCUUUCCCCCGGUAGGGCGUAUGCGGUAUUAGCAGUCGUUUCCAACUGUUAUCCCCACAAAUGGGCAAAUUCCCAGGCAUUACUCACCCGUCCGCCGCUCGUCAUCUUCAAAACGCAAGCUUUUGAAAUGUUACCGCUCGACUUGCAUGUGUUAGGCCUGCCGCCAGCGUUCAAUCUGAACC